rnacentral:rRNA from 1 species
UACGUAGGCAGCAAGCGUUGUUCGGAAUUACUGGGCGUAAAGAGUGUGUAGGCGGUGCUCUAAGUUUGGUGUGAAAUCUCCCGGCUCAACUGGGAGGGUGCGCCGAAAACUGGAAUGCUUGAACGUGGGAGAGGAAAGCGGAAUUCCUGGUGUAGCGGUGAAAUGCGUAGAUAUCAGGAGGAACACCUGCGGUGUAGACGGCUUUCUGGACCAUUGUUGACGCUGAGACACGAAGGCCAGGGGAGCAAACGGG